rnacentral:rRNA from 1 species
GAUGAACGCUGGCGGCGUGCCUAAUACAUGCAAGUCGAGCGAACAGACGAGGAGCUUGCUCCUUCGACGUUAGCGGCGGACGGGUGAGUAACGCGUAGGUAACCUACCUAUAAGACUGGGAUAACUUCGGGAAACCGGAGCUAAUACCGGAUAAUAUUUCGAACCGCAUGGUUCGAUAGUGAAAGAUGGCUUUGCUAUCACUUAUAGAUGGACCUGCGCCGUAUUAGCUUGUUGGUAAGGUAACGGCUUACCAAGGCAACGAUACGUAGCCGACCUGAGAGGGUGAUCGGCCACACUGGAACUGAGACACGGUCCAGACUCCUACGGGAGGCAGCAGAAGGGAAUAUGCCGCAAUGGGCGAAAGCCUGACGGAGCAACGCCGCGUGAGUGAUGAAGGUCUUCGGAUCGUAAAACUCUGUUAUUAGGGAAGAACAAAAGUGUAAGUAACUGUGCACGUCUUGACGGUACCUAAUCAGAAAGCCACGGCUAACUACGUG